UAGGGAAUUUUGCGCAAUGGGCGAAAGCCUGACGCAGCAAUACCGUGUGCGGGAAGACGCUCUGUGGAGUGUAAACCGCUGUCAGAUGGGAAGAAUCAAUGACUGUACCAUCAAAGGAAGGACCGGCUAACUCUGUGCCAGCAGCCGCGGUAAUACAGAGGGUCCAAGCGUUAUCCGGAUUUAUUGGGCGUAAAGCGUCUGUAGGUUGUUAACUAAGUCUGAAGUGAAAGAAUGGAGCUCAACUCCAUACACGCUUUGGAAACUGGUUGACUAGAGAAUGUUAGAGGUAAGUGGAAUUUCUAGUGUAGCGGUGAAAUGCGUAGAUAUUAGAAAGAACACCAGAGGCGAAGGCGACUUACUGGGACAUUUCUGACACUGAGAGACGAAAGCAUGGGGAGCG
rnacentral:rRNA from 1 species